rnacentral:rRNA from 1 species
UACAGAGGUCCCAAGCGUUGUUCGGAUUCAUUGGGCGUAAAGGGUGCGUAGGUGGCGUGGUAAGUCGGGUGUGAAAUCCCGGGGCUCAACCCCGGAACUGCACUCGAUACUACUGUGCUCGAGUACUGGAGAGGAGACUGGAAUUUACGGUGUAGCAGUGAAAUGCGUAGAUAUCGUAAGGAAGACCAGUGGCGAAGGCGGAUCUCUGGACAGUUACUGACACUGAGGCACGAAGGCCAGGGGAGCAAACGGG